rnacentral:rRNA from 1 species
ACAGCAUCUGAGAUGAAGUAGGACCACCCGCUGAACUUAAGCAUAUCAUUAAGCGGAGGAAAAGAAACUAACAAGGAUUCC